rnacentral:rRNA from 1 species
UUCGGAUGCUGACGAGUGGCGAACGGGUGAGUAAUACAUCGGAACGUGCCUAGUAGUGGGGGAUAACUACUCGAAAGAGUAGCUAAUACCGCAUGAGAUCUACGGAUGAAAGCAGGGGACCUUCGGGCCUUGUGCUACUAGAGCGGCUGAUGGCAGAUUAGGUAGUUGGUGGGGUAAAGGCUUACCAAGCCUGCGAUCUGUAGCUGGUCUGAGAGGACGACCAGCCACACUGGGACUGAGACACGGCCCAGACUCCUACGGGAGGCAGCAGUGGGGAAUUUUGGACAAUGGGCGAAAGCCUGAUCCAGCAAUGCCGCGUGCAGGAUGAAGGCCCUCGGGUUGUAAACUGCUUUUGUACGGAACGAAAAGCCUGGGGCUAAUAUCCCCGGGUCAUGACGGUACCGUAAGAAUAAGCACCGGCUAACUACGUGCCAGCAGCCGCGGUAAUACGUAGGGUGCAAGCGUUAAUCGGAAUUACUGGGCGUAAAGCGUGCGCAGGCGGUUUUGUAAGACAGUGGUGAAAUCCCCGGGCUCAACCUGGGAACUGCCAUUGUGACUGCAAGGCUAGAGUGCGGCAGAGGGGGAUGGAAUUCCGCGUGUAGCAGUGAAAUGCGUAGAUAUGCGGAGGAACACCGAUGGCGAAGGC